rnacentral:rRNA from 1 species
UACGAAGGGGGCUAGCGUUGUUCGGAUUUACUGGGCGUAAAGCGCGUGUAGGCGGGUCGUUAAGUUGGGGGUGAAAGCCCGGAGCUCAACUCCGGAACUGCCUUCAAAACUGGCGACCCGGAGCAUGUCAGAGGCGAGUGGAAUUGCGAGUGUAGAGGUGAAAAUCGUAGAUAUUCGCAGGAACACCAGUGGCGAAGGCGACUCGCUGGGACAUUGCUGGCGAUGAGACGCGAAAGCGUGGGGAGCAAACAGG